rnacentral:rRNA from 1 species
GACGAACGCUGGCGGCGUGCUUAACACAUGCAAGUCGAGCGGAGCGGCGAACGGGUGAGUAACGCGUGAGUAACUGCCCCCCUCUCUGGGUUCACAGUUGGAAACGGCUGCUAUUACCGGAUAGUGGGGGAUGACUCGCGUCCCGUCAGGUUGUUGGUGGGGUAGUGGUCUACCAAGGCGACGACUGGUAGCCGGCCUGAGAGGGCGACCGGCCACAUUGGGCUGGAAGAAGGGCCAGACUGCUACGGGAGGCAGCAGUGGGGAAUAUUGCCGAAUGGGCGCAAGGCUGACGGGGCAAGGCGCGUGAAGGAUGACGGCCUUCGGGUUGUAAAGCUCUGGUAAUCGGGACGGCGAAUAGGGCGAGGAUUUGACGGUACCGGAAUAGAAAGCCACGGCUAACUACGUGCCAGCAGCCGCGGUAAUAC